CUUCUUGAAUUAUAAGAAGUCGUGCCUGCUCACUGAAUAUUGAAGAGCCGCGGUAUUUUGACCGUGCAAAGGUAGCAUAAUCAUUAGUUUUUUAAUUGGAAACUGGAAUGAAAGGUUUGACGAAACAAUAACUGUCUUGUAUUUAUAUAUUGAAUUUUACUUUUAAGUUAAAAGGCUUAAAUAAUGAUGGGGGACGAGAAGACCCUAUAGAUCUUUAUAUUAACUAAUAUAAUUUAAUGUUGGUUGAUUAAUUUAAAUUAUAUUAAUUAAUAUUUCGUUGGGGUGAUGUGAGAAUUAAUAAGCUUCUUAGAAUUUGACUUUGGUGAAUGGAUAGAAAAUCCUGUAUUAUGGAAUAAAGAUUAAGAUACCUUAGGGAUAACAGCGUUAUUUUAUUUGAGAGUUCUUAUUGACAAUAAAGAUUGCGACCUCGAUGUUGGAUUAAAAUUAUAAAUUGGUGAAGAAGUUGAUUUUGUUGGUCUGUUC
rnacentral:rRNA from 1 species